UCUCUAUUCCCCCCCCCUUCCCUUUCUUUCUUCCCUCCUCCCUUCCCCUGUCAGUUGGUUCUUCAGUUGGUAUCACUGAAAAUCAGCUCUGAAAACAGUCAGCUCCUCAGAAAUAAAAUCUCCCAGGAGAAACCAGCGAGAAACAAAUACCAUCGUUAGAAAUGAGUAUUUGCUCAUCCUAAAUUCUGAGGAGUCCUGGGACCACUCUUCAUUUCUGGUGGAAUCUAAGACCUGGACACACUGCACAGCAGGAUGGAAAUUCCACCCCCGGUGAAAAGCUAGCAUGAGCUCCUGGUUUCCCAGUGCACUUGGUUGCUUUAGCAUUUCAAAUGAGGAGAUGAAAUCAUUCCAUCAGAUGCCAUGAAGACUGAAUAAAAAGAUAUUCUGACUUCCUUCUAGAAUAUGGUUCAGACCCCUUUGACAGUAAGAUGAAUCCCUUUUCAGAAAAAGGAUUUAAAAAUAAUUAAUAAAAAUGAAUAA